UCUCCCCUUAUUAUCUCACACUUUUUUCCCUUAUUGGAUAGUUUUGGUAUGAGAACCCUGGAAAACUUGCAUACAAAGUUACAAGAAGACAAGCAACCUUGGGUGUCUCAAUAUGAUUUACAGGACAACUCUACAGAAAAGAGGAGUUUCACAAUAAGUAGAAAGCUGUUGAUGGCACACCAGGGCUUUGGCCACUUCUGCCUGCUGUUCCCACAGCAACAAGGCUGGCUCUGCAACAUUCACCCACUCCCCAGCAGUGGGCUGGGGGUGAGCAAGAUCUUCGCUGGGGACACAGCCUGGACAGCUGACCCCAACUGACUCCCACCAAAGGACUAUCCCGUACCAUAUGAUGUCUGCUCAGCAACAAAAGGCAAGGGAAGAUGAGCUUCACAAUAUCUUUGACACUUCUAAUUGAUUUGUCAGCCUGGGGAAGUGGAAAAGUAC